rnacentral:lncRNA from 1 species
GCCUUACCGGGUCCUACCAGACCCAUUGAACCUGAGACCCGGAAGCCGACAGGUGAACAAGUUUGAUUCACUUUCUACAGCCGGAUUAUUCACCAAGGUGGCCACCAAGCCCACCAACCACUCCAAGUUCACGGGUAAGUGCGGCAAGCCCAGGUGCACCAAGUGUCACAUCCACCCGGCUUCUAAGGCCAAGGACAAGACCAAAGGGAGCCACAAGCUCAAGUCAUCCGACGUCAUAUCCAAUCAUCGUUUGGUCAAAUUUUCCGGGUCUUCCGCCACGGGGAUUUUGGAUCAUCUGUCUACUAGUCAUUAUGAUAACAACGAUGAUGAUGACGAAGAAGAUGAUGAAAUCAAUGGUUAUGCAAGUGAGUGUGAGUGGAGCCUAUGAUAAUAGAAAUGAUCAUGAUCAUGAUGUGAUGUGAGGGUGGAUUUUGAUGAGGUUGAGGAAGAUGGUAAUUAUGAAGAGAUGGAUUUCUUUAAUGUGGAAUAUGUGAUUGAUCCAAUAGAGGAAGAUGAAGGUUGGUGUUUAGUGCCACAAACGUGAUUGUACCUCUUUUCUUCUGCUUUGUAUUUUGAUGUACUUGUUGCGGACCUGUGAGUCCGUGACUAAGGAACAUUGGGGGCCGGGGGUGCUUCAUUAUCAGUGAGAGUUCUUUUGAUCGCAAUGAGGAAGGAAAGUAAGCUAUUUGAUUAGUUUAAUGUCCGAACCCUUAUACAUAGAGAUACUCUCUUAAUCUUCUUGACUUUGGUUUGGAAUUUUAACUCUACUCUGUUUGUCCUCAAUAAAUUACAACCGAUUUUCUACAAAAAAUAUUUGACAAUAUUCUCAUUAGAAUUUGGCCUCCAAUCUAAUUCAGUUUAAGCAAAUCAAACUCAAAUGAAUAGAAAAGAAUCUCAAUGAUAUGUGCAUUUCAUUUCCGAACAGCACCUUAAGCUGAGUCAUUUUGCAAAACCAAUGAGCCACUGCCACGUCAAGAGACGGGUUGGGAAAACUAGUCCGCACUCUGUUUCCAAGUUUUCCGACUAGUUUUCCCACCAGUCAGUCACUCUGAAACCGAAUGGAGGUGAGACAAAAUCCCUGAAACUCUACAGUUCUUCCGGUUGCUCUCUGCCUGAUAGACCACAAUAUCCGAAAUAUCUGGUUCGUUGAAAUCCCAGCGGAGCAUCCAAGAGCUUUGCACCCUCAAAGCAGCAUAAUUUUUCCCCGUUUCCCUUCCUCUUCUUCCCCUUUUCACUCUCUAAGGUUUGCCCUCUCUCCGUCUCUCUCUCUCUCUCUCUCUGGAGUAAUGGCUUCUCUUGCAUGUUUGGUGCUAUACUGGUUACUUUUUCAAUUGAGAAUUAUAAUGAAAGUUUUGGUCUUUCUGAUCUUCCAGCGUUCCUUGUUUCAUUCGUUGGUACAAUGGUGCAUUGCAUAAUUGCAUUCCUGUUUUCAAUAAUUGAUUUUUUUCUUCUUCUGGCAUUCAUGUUAUGGUUGAAGAACAGGGUAUGCUAUUUGCUAUAAGGACUCUGACCCAUGUGUAAUUUUAUCUGAGGGCUAAAGCUCUAAUUUGGUCAUUUCUAAGCUCACCCUUUCAAUUGCCAAGUAUCAAUUUUUCGUUCCCUUUUCCACCCAAUUGAUAUGGUAGAAGCUAUGUGUAUCAGUAAAGAUAGCAUGCGUAGCUCGUUGUUUUGCCCUUUUGAGUUACUUGUGUAUAUCAGUCGAAAUAAUCCUAGCUGUUAUAGAUAUGAUAAUUUGAUGUGCUACAUAAUUGUAAGUAGCUUGUUUUAUGGGAUAUUUAUUUAUUAUGGUGAAUGAUGGCUCGUUUUUAUGGGUGUUAAAUUGAAUUUUUCCUGACUUUUUUAGUUUUUCCUUCUUUUUUCUCUUCCCUUCCUAAUGAAGGUGGACGGGUUGUAGUGAGCCUGAUAUAUCAAGUCAUCCACAAGAAGAGAGUGACUACAAUGAACUUCCAAUAUCAUUUAGAUUGGAUAUUGAUGUGCAACGUGAUUGUCGAAGCUCAAAAGGUUCCUCUGCCGAAAGGAGUCCGGCAGUUAUCGACCAUGAACAUGAUUCUCCGAGAGAGUGUCAAAGUCCAAAAGGUUCCUCUUUUGAGAAGAGGCAGGUGGUUAUUGAUACUGAGCAUGAAUAUCAGAGUCCAAUUCCUGCUUCUAUUGACAAGAACCAGGUGGAAAUUGACCGCGAGGAGUGUGAAACCCCAAAAUUUUACUCUGUGAGUAAGUUUGAGAUGGAUGUAGAUGGUGAGCAGGAGUAGCAGAGCCCAAAUGUUCCCUGUGCUGAUGUACCAGGAGCUGGUAUGGCCAUGAAAGGUGAGGAAUGCAUUUAUGUGGUACCGCAAGUUGGGGUGGAGUUUGAGUCAGAAGACCAUCCAUACAAUUGUUACAGUAGAUAUGCUGUGCUGGAAGGUUUCAGCAUUCGAAAAGAUUUCGUAAAUAAAAGUAGGAUAAAUGGUAUAGUUGUUUCCAGAAGGUACACUUGUCAUCUUGAAUUUCCGGAGGAAAAGGUAUUCAUUUAUGUCAUCCAACAAACACUUUUGUUUUUCACACCUAGAUUUUCUGCUGAAUUCAAUUCAAAGAUUCUUUCUUUAUCUAAAAUAGUUUUGUUUUUUGGUGGAUGGUGGUGGCCGGUGGGCAUUUGAAUUAGUGUUGUGGGGUUGAACUUCGAUUUCGUGGUGUUGAAUUUGACAAAGCACUCCUCCUAUCUCAUCUACAACGCCACUCUCUGCUUCAGCUCCGCCGUUCAAAAGCAGUACUUCGAGAAGUACCGCUUAGGACCGGUUUGUUUCCCUCCCUACCAGCCUAGCCACUUCCUUUUAUGAUCAUUUUCAUUCCCAGUGCUGUGUUCUUGGUUUCCAAUAGCAAAGUUUAGAUCUUUUUAAAUUAUUGCAUAUGGGUUUGCUUUUUCUUGGUAGAUUGGCAAAUGUUUUAAUGAGCUCUGCUUAUAUAUUGAUACAAGCAUUAAGUUACAUAAGGAAUGUAAUAUGUAGCAGUUUUAGUUGUAACUCGAUAGCAGCUGUUAUUUUCGGCACUUGGAGAUUUGUGACAUAUAUGGUACACCGGAUUUCAAGGCCAUAAACAACUUUAUAUAUCAGAAAGCUAGUGUUUCAAGUGUGUUUUGUCAUUUAGGUUUUUAAGCACAUAAUUUUUGCAUGAAAUAUGAUACGUGUAGAUUGUAAUCUCAAUACUUUGACGCCAACUCCAACAGCUGAAGAGGGAUUGUAGUUUAUCAACUGUUUAAUAUAGUGUGUGCGUCUUAAAAGGAAGGAUGUAUGGAAGAGAUUGAGUUGAUGAUUUGUUAUAUGUAUAUUUGGAAGUGCUCAUCUUUUUUGUGCUAUAAUUGCAGAUGAUACCUGUUGCAGCAAACGAUGUUGUUUCUCUAUUCAUGCUGUUUUACUGACAGUAAUUACCCUGUACCAAAUUGCAAUCUAUGAAGUAAGUGUCUUGAUCUUCUUUACCGAGUUUAUGAUUUAAAAUCAUGUUAAUAGGUUCACUAUCCUGAUGUUAGUCACUUUGUCAUGAAAAGUUUCAUAUUUGACCUUUUGCUGAUGGCUUUUUUAUGCAACGUGGAAAUCAGAAGGUCCCCAAGAUUUCCAUUGGAAUUGUUGCUGCCAUGUGGUUAGGUACUGCAGUUUGUGUUUUCUUAGCUUUGCCAAGUCAUUCUUGACUUUGGUUGAUUUCCGUUUUCAAGUAAGAUUCUGACCUUUUUGUUUUUGUGCAUCGAAUGAUAUUUGCAAUUUCAUGACAUCCUUCUUGCUAAAUUGUGUUUCUAACUUGUGUACCUUUCCAGGUUCUUGGGUGAACUUCUAUGGACAUAUAGGGAACACACUGCUGUUUCUGGUAUGCAUUCAUUCGUAGCAAUGUCUUGAAUUAUAUCAAACAAUUGACACAUUUUCUAGAUUGUCUCAAAUUGAAUUGGUUAUGGAGCUAUAAGUUGCUUAUACAUGGAUGGGUUUUACUGUUUCAGAUAUCUAUAUUCUUUUACCUUCUAUUCAUGGGUCAACAUUACGUGCUGUAUCGUGGCAAGAGGGCAGUGAUCACCCCUAAAAUCAUCAGCAAGGAGAGCUUGGACCCACUCGUCAAGUCAUCUGAUGCCCCAGUUUCGGAAAAUGCAUAAAGCUUUUGGCAUGGCUCCCAAGAUGAAUGAUAGGUAUUAGCUUACAUCGUCGGUGUAAGAAUUAGCAAACUAUUUGGGUUUGUGCAGGUUAUUUUACCUUAAAGCAUGUUGUAUCACGUUGUGUACAGGAAAGAAGAAAAAAACAUUUAUUUGGAGCAUUAAAAGUAGACAACAGUGUAGGAAGAACAUUAUGCAAUUAAAGUGUAUGUUUGCAUGCCACUUUUACUAGAGGAUCCGUAAGAAUAAAAAGAUAGGUUUUUACAUUUUCCAAACAGACCCUCAAACUCACUCAAUUUUGGAAGAUGUUGUAAGUUUUUAAGUUUGGUUGGUUUUUUAACUUUUGAUUAUGAUCGCGGGCGCCAAGUUCUGAGAAAGCCUGAUGCACAGAAACUCCGUCCCUCACGCAAGCGUAACGCAUGGAUUUCUUCUAUUGGUUACUAAAAAAACUGAAUUUUUAUGACUUUUGUGAAGGGAUAAAGACUUUCAUGCAGCAGGGAUAACACUAUUUUGUUAUUCUCGAUCUAUAAUACAAAGACACAUAAAAAAGUUAUCUCAUGUGUCAUUAUGUUAUUGACCGGAAUAAUAAAAAGUAUCAUUCCCGUUUUCUGUUGUGAAGGAGCCGAGCAAGUUCCAGGAAAAAAACAAUACCAGCAGAGCAGCUGGAAUUUUUGGCUUAUGAGUUGCAAUUCCAGUAGAGCAGCGUCCCUUUGCCUUGGGGCUCACACCUUUUCUCAUCAAAACUUUGUAUAAUUUCCAUUAGCCACAUGAAAAAAAAAAUGAAAAAAAAAAAAGAGGUUCAAUUCCAGGGUCAACCCUGUAACAUGUAAGUGGGCAUCAUUAUUAAGAAACAAACAUAUGCAUACCGUCAAGCAUAAGCAAUUGGCCAUUGCCAAGUACUUGCUUCAUAAUAAUAAAAAAUUUUAAUAUGCGAAAAAGAUGUAUUCUUUAUCUUGGUGAGUUGUCAAUCUUUAAUGAUUUAUUGGCUUGGUCAACCAGAAUUAGGACCUGCCAAACCAAACACCGUGUUUCCCAAGUUUUCAUUCCCACAAGCAACACUACAAAAUGAGAGAGGGCACAACUCAAACACCUCCAUCAUUCAUCCUUCUUUCAAUCUUUCAUUCAGCCCACAGCUCCAUUUGUCAACAAUGAAGAGAGAGGGUCGCCAGCACGGGAUGGUUCGGACUUACCGGGUCCUACCCGACCCAUUGAACCCAAGACCAGAAACCCGACACGUGAACAGGUUUGAUUCACCUCCUACAGCCGGGUUGUUCACCAAGGUGGCCACCAAGCCUACCAACCACUCCAAGUUCACGGGCAAGUGCGGCAAGCCCAGGUGCACCGAGUGUCACAUCCACCCGGCUUCUAAGGCCAAGGACAAGACCAAAGGGAACCACAAGCUCAAGUCAUCCGACGUCUUAUCCAAUCAUCGUUUGGUCACUUGGCGGGUUGUGGACAGCCGGCCCAGCUCGAAUUUUUCCGGGUUUUCUGCCACGGGGAUUUUGGAUCAUCUGUCUACUAGAGAUUAUGAUAACGAUGAUGAUGAUGAAGAAGAUGAUGAAAUCAAUGGUUAUGCAAGUAGAGCCUAUGAUAAUAGAAAUGAUCAUGAUGUGAGGGUGGAUUGUGAUGAGGUUGAGGAAGAUGGUAAUUAUGAAGAGAUGGGUUUCUUUAAUGUGGAAUAUGUGAUUGAUCCAAUUGAGGAAGAUGAAGGGUGGUGUUUAGUGCCACAAACGUGAUUGUGGUUUGAAUAACGCGGAUUGAAGUCAACUUCUUUUCUUCUGCUUUGUAUUUUGAUGUACAAGUUAAUAAUGAUGAUGAUGAUGAUGAUGAUGAUGAUCUUAUUUCUCAAUAUUUGACAACAUUCCUUUAUUGCCGCUUCCUUGUCUUGGUCUGAUUUUAUUUUUGAUGUACUUGUUGUGGAUUGUAACCCGUGAGUCCGUGACUAAGGAAUAUUUGGAGUGGGGGUGCUUCAUCAUGAGUGAGGAUUCCUUUGAUUGUUAUGAGCAAGUAGAAUAGGCUACUUGAUUAGUCUAAUGUCUAAGCUCUUAUGUGUAGAAAUACUCAUCUAAUCUUCUUGACUUUAGUUUGGAAUUUUAAUUGUAUUCUGUUUGUCCUCAAUAAAUUACAACCAAUUUUCUACAAAAAAUAUUUGACAAUAUUCUCAUUAGAAUUUGGCCUCCAAUCUAAUUCAGUUUAAGCAAAUCCAAC